rnacentral:rRNA from 1 species
CCCUUAGAUGUUCUGGGCCGCACGCGUGCUACACUGAGUGGAUCAGCGGGUCAGGUUGCGCGAAAGUGUUUCCUAAUCUUUAAAUCCGCUCGUGAUGGGGAUUGACGGUUGCAACUUUCCGUCAUGAACGAGGAAUACCUUGUAAGCGCGGGUCAUCAUCCCGCGCUGAAUACGUCCCUGCCCUUUGUACACACCGCCCGUCGCUCCUACCGAUUGAGUGGUCCGGUGAGGCUUUGGGAUCUGAGCGGAAAGAGUGUUUCGCUGUUUCUGCCCGGAAAACUCAGUCGAACCUUAUCAUUUAGAGGAAGGAGAAGUCGUAACA